rnacentral:rRNA from 1 species
AACGAACGCUGGCGGCAUGCCUAACACAUGCAAGUCGAACGAGACCUUCGGGUCUAGUGGCGCACGGGUGCGUAACGCGUGGGAACCUGCCCUUAGGUUCGGAAUAACUCCCCGAAAGGGGUGCUAAUACCGGAUAAUGUCUUCGGACCAAAGAUUUAUCGCCUUUGGAUGGGCCUGCGUUGGAUUAGCUAGUUGGUAGGGUAAAAGCCUACCAAGGCGACGAUGCAUAGCUGGUCUGAGAGGAUGAUCAGCCACACUGGGACUGAGACACGGCCCAGACUCCUACGGGAGGCAGCAGUGGGGAAUAUUGGACAGUGGGCGAAAGGCUGAUCCAGCAAUGCCGCGUGAGUGAUGAAGGCCUUAGGGUUGUAAAGCUCUUUUACCCGGGAUGAUAAUGACAGUACCGGGAGAAUAAGCUCCGGCUAACUCCGUG